GACGAACGCUGGCGGCGUGCCUAACACAUGCAAGUCGAACGAGGUCCAUCCUUCGGGAGAAGACCUAGUGGCGAACGGGUGAGUAACACGUGAAGAACCUGCCCCGAAGACCGGGAUAACCCUCCGAAAGGAGAGCUAAUACCGGAUACCCCCACCGAACCGCAUGGUUUGGUGAGGAAAUGGAUUCCGCUUCGGGAGGGCUUCGCGGCCUAUCAGCUAGUUGGUGGGGUAACGGCCCACAAGGCAUCGACGGGUAGCUGGUCUGAGAGGACGAUCAGCCACACUGGGACUGAGACACGGCCCAGACUCCUACGGGAGGCAGCAGUGGGGAAUCUUGCGCAAUGGGCGAAAGCCUGACGCAGCAACGCCGCGUGGGGGAUGAAGGCUCUCGGGUUGUAAACCCCUUUCAGCAGGGACGAAUCAAGACGGUACCUGCAGAAGAAGCCCCGGCUAACUACGUGCCAGCAGCCGCGGUAAU
rnacentral:rRNA from 1 species